rnacentral:lncRNA from 9 species
UUUCUUUUCUGUGGAAAGGUUCAUCUGUGCCUCAUGUUAGACGCCAGAUACAUUCUUGCUGGUUUUGGUGUGGAGGGCCGGAGUGUUUGCAGUUUUGUCCUUGGAGUUAGGGUAGCAGGUUUGCUGAUGGAAAGUGACUUACAGGUAAAGUCACGGGCCAGGUACUGUAGUCCCAGGAACAAGCCGUGUUACCAUUAGUCGAUGGAGGUUUGUGUGCAAGGGACUAGGGGGGUGUGUAUGGGAAACGGCUGGUAGGAUUCUGAGUGUGUCAAAAUCCUGAGCCUUCCUCUGACCCCUCCCAGAUGACCCCGAGUACCCGAGGCGGAAGGUGUCCGGCAUCAGUGCUCAGAAAGUUGUUCCACCUUCCACCAAGAUGCUGGAUGAGGAGGACACUGACAAAGACGGGAUGAGUUUGGAGGUCGACACUCCAGUGACGAACCAUCGGGGUGACGACGACGAUGACGAAGAAGAUCUCCCCGAGAUAGUGCUGGAUGACGUGCCUGCGGUGAGGGUGGCGGGACGGCCUCCAUUCGCUCCGCGGGUGGCCUUCAUGGUGAACAAAACACAUGACCCCGAGUACCCGAGGCGGAAGGUGUCCGGCAUCAGUGCUCAGAAAGUUGUUCCACCUUCCACCAAGAUGCUGGAUGAGGAGGACACUGACAAAGACGGGAUGAGUUUGGAGGUCGACACUCCAGUGACGAACCAUCGGGGUGACGACGACGAUGACGAAGAAGAUCUCCCCGAGAUAGUGCUGGAUGACGUGCCUGCGGUGAGGGUGGCGGGACGGCCUCCAUUCGCUCCGCGGGUAAGUUGGGUUUUUAGUCUGAGCUCGCAGUGUUGCUCUAUUUCCCCUCCGUGGACAUUAAGUUAUGACAGCCUGAGCCUGCACGUUCCAGACCAUGUGGACGGUUCCGAGGGUUGGGACUCCAUGUCAGGCGCGUCUGUUGCCAACUCCCGAUGCCUGCUUCCGCAGGGCAAUGCGAUAACAACACCUGUCCCAGCCUGCAGAGGACAGAGCUCCUUCUCCAGAAGCAUCUUUUCCUCGAGGAAAGAGUUCUGUCAUCUCCAACUGACAUGGCCUUGGACAUCCCGUCGUCUAGGACAAGUUCUUGCCUUUGUCCCCGAGGAGGGUUUGCUCUGCCUUUGCUGGGUUCUCUGGACUCCACCGCUGUUGUGCAUCGGGGUUUCUGCUG